UACGAAGGGGGCUAGCGUUGCUCGGAAUGACUGGGCGUAAAGGGCGCGUAGGCGGUUUGUACAGUCAGAUGCGAAAUUCCCGGGCUCAACCUGGGGGCUGCAUUUGAUACGUAUGGACUUGAGUGGGGAAGAGGGUCGUGGAAUUCCCAGUGUAGAGGUGAAAUUCGUAGAUAUUGGGAAGAACACCGGUGGCGAAGGCGGCGACCUGGUCCUUGACUGACGCUGAGGCGCGAAAGCCAGGGGAGCAAACGGG
rnacentral:rRNA from 1 species